GCUUCAAUGCUAGAAAUCACACUAAUAACCCAAAAAAAGCAUAAUCUCAAAAACAAAAAACAAAUUAAUAUUUUGAUUAAAAAAGAAUUGAAAUGUAAUCGCAUAAAUCGGCUCCGAAGAUCAUGAAUAUAUGAGAUCUGCAGGUUCCUAUCAGGAUGCGAAACAAGUGAAAUUCACUCUUGUUCUUGGUCCAAUCAUAGCAUCGUUGGUCACUGCUAUUUAGCUACCAUCGACGUGGCAUCGGACCAUAAAAAAAUAUGGAACUAAACAAAACUAACAGAUUACGAAAAUUUUAAAAAAUAACCCUCAGCGACCCGUUCCAAAUCACACACGCAGCGCCGAAAAAGAAAGAUCCCGACCAAUAACAGUAACUCACUAAGAGUGUACUGCUAUCGGUGGAUGAGAUCAGUUCUUUGAAUCGGCGCUGCGUUUAAAGUGUCAUACGGCACUUCCUAUCUAUAUUUGGGAGAUCCUCCUCACAGGGAAUGAACCAAGAAUCAAAACUGGAAUAGAGAAACAAAACACAAUACAGAAACUGAGAGAUGAGUGAAGAAAAAAGAGACAAUCUAUGUAACAUAGAGCAUAACGCUGGAGCCACUGUUUAUUGGUGAAGGAUUGUGUUUGUUAGGGUUCUGGGGGUGAUAUUUAUAGGAGGCGUGUGCAAAUAUUAGGUCAAGUUCUGCUACUGAAAUGGUUGAAUAUUUUUUUUAUGCGGCCCAAAGAAAGAUUGGUUGAGAAACAAUGUGUCCCUAACUUGGGCUUUGUACAAGAUAACCAAAAAAACAGAAGAGCCCAGUCUGGACACUCACUUAACAAGUGGGGAAUGAGAAUUGAGAAGUACUAUCUUUGACGGAAAAAAAAAUAUAUUCAAUCUACUUUAGGGAAUACUAAUUUUUACACACCCCUGAAAUACUUUUUACACACAUUGAAUCCUCUUUUCCCCAAAAUACCCCUAUUUUAAAUGAACCCUCUAUUUUCUCACUUCAUUCUACACCCUCAUCUCUUUUUAUCUCAUUUUGCUCUCUAACUCUUUAAUGCUACAUCAUCCACCAUCUAAUGGAAAAUUGUUUCUUUCACUCUCUAUUUCAAGUGGUAGGAGAUGGUAGAAUAAGGAAUAGUUAGGGGGUGAGAUAAGUUAGGUAAGAUCAGGCCAAACUAACUCAAUUACUCUAAAGUAGUUAAAAUGCACUAUUAUAAAGUGUUGUUGAAAAUAAUAACUUAAAUUACUCAAAAACAACCCAAGUGCAUCAUUACAACAAGAAUUCUUCAGGGAUCUCAGUACUUAAAAUGGUAUCAUAAUGCACCAUUAUAAACAAUCAAAAUGACAUCAAAUCUGAGUAAUUCAAUUAACUCUUCAAUGAUUGGAGUACAACAAAGUGCACUCAUAAUAAGAAAAGAUGUCAACAAAAAAUAUCACAUACGAGUACUAAAAAACUGAGCCAAACAUCAGAUCCUUCCUAAACAGUCCCAACAAAAAAAAAUUAAAAUGGCAUAAGAACUUCACCCAACUUCAAAGUAAGAAAAUAAUGUCACUGAAAAAUAUUUUGAUAAUAGUUAUGUUAGAGAUAAGAAAAAACUUAUAAAAAGUGACUUCUUCAAUAGACUAUACUUAUGACGCAACCAAUCUCCUCCACAAAUGAGUGCUUCGACUUUAGAAUGAAAUUCAUCAAUGACUCGCCCUCUUGCACUUAAUGUAGACUUUGAUGCCACUGUGGAGAUGAGUAUAACCAUUAUAUCUGCAAUCAUCUUGGAUAAGAUCUUAUACUUUAAGUUGUUGUUCAUCCACCCCUUUAAUACACAUGACGGUAAUUCCAAUUCAAUCUAAUCCUCAUAGGCUUCAAUGCUAGAAAUCACACUAAUAACCCAAAAAAAGCAUAAUCUCAAAAACAAAAAACAAAUUAAUAUUUUGAUUAAAAAAGAAUUGAAAUGUAAUCGCAUAAAUCGGCUCCGAAGAUCAUGAAUAUAUGAGAUCUGCAGGUUCCUAUCAGGAUGCGAAACAAGUGAAAUUCACUCUUGUUCUUGGUCCAAUCAUAGCAUCGUUGGUCACUGCUAUUUAGCUACCAUCGACGUGGCAUCGGACCAUAAAAAAAUAUGGAACUAAACAAAACUAACAGAUUACGAAAAUUUUAAAAAAUAACCCUCAGCGACCCGUUCCAAAUCACACACGCAGCGCCGAAAAAGAAAGAUCCCGACCAAUAACAGUAACUCACUAAGAGUGUACUGCUAUCGGUGGAUGAGAUCAGUUCUUUGAAUCGGCGCUGCGUUUAAAGUGUCAUACGGCACUUCCUAUCUAUAUUUGGGAGAUCCUCCUCACAGGGAAUGAACCAAGAAUCAAAACUGGAAUAGAGAAACAAAACACAAUACAGAAACUGAGAGAUGAGUGAAGAAAAAAGAGACAAUCUAUGUAACAUAGAGCAUAACGCUGGAGCCACUGUUUAUUGGUGAAGGAUUGUGUUUGUUA
rnacentral:lncRNA from 1 species